CCUACGGGAGGCUGCAGUGGGGAAUAUUGCACAAUGGGGGAAACCCUGAUGCAGCGACGCCGCGUGAGUGAAGAAGUAUUUCGGUACGUAAAGCUCUAUCAGCAGGGAAGAAAAUGACGGUACCUGACUAAGAAGCCCCGGCUAACUACGUGCCAGCAGCCGCGGUAAUACGUCGGGGGCAAGCGUUAUCCGGAUUUACUGGGUGUAAAGGGAGCGUAGGUGGCAGGGCAAGUCAGAUGUGAAAGCCCGGGGCUCAACCCCGGUACUGCAUUUGAAACUGUCCAGCUGGAGUGCAGGAGAGGUAAGCGGAAUUCCUAGUGUAGCGGUGAAAUGCGUAGAUAUUAGGAGGAACACCAGUGGCGAAGGCGGCUUACUGGACUGUAACUGACACUGAGGCACGAAAGCGUGGGGAGCAAACAGGAGUAGAUACCCUUGUAGUC
rnacentral:rRNA from 1 species